ACCCAACUACUUUCUGGGCUAUGUUUAGUUCACGAGUGGAAUCGAAAUGAAAAAUGAAAUUCGAUUGCAUUGAAAUGAAAAAUGAAAUGAGGAAUUAUCUAAAAAUAUUUGAUUCAUUAUUGGAAUGGAAAUCGGAAUGGAUUGAUUAAGAGAGAGGAGAGUGACGAAAUGAGAGGAGUAAGUGUUCAUAGUAUUGCAUGGUAAG
rnacentral:lncRNA from 1 species